rnacentral:rRNA from 1 species
UGGGGAAUUUUGGACAAUGGGCGAAAGCCUGAUCCAGCAAUGCCGCGUGUGUGAAGAAGGCCUUCGGGUUGUAAAGCACUUUUGUCCGGAAAGAAAUCCUUGGCUCUAAUACAGUCGGGGGAUGACGGUACCGGAAGAAUAAGCACCGGCUAACUACGUGCCAGCAGCCGCGGUAAUACGUAGGGUGCAAGCGUUAAUCGGAAUUACUGGGCGUAAAGCGUGCGCAGGCGGUUUGCUAAGACCGAUGUGAAAUCCCCGGGCUCAACCUGGGAACUGCAUUGGUGACUGGCAGGCUAGAGUAUGGCAGAGGGGGGUAGAAUUCCACGUGUAGCAGUGAAAUGCGUAGAGAUGUGGAGGAAUACCGAUGGCGAAGGCAGCCCCCUGGGCCAAUACUGACGCUCAUGCACGAAAGCGUGGGGAGCAAACAGGAUUAGAUACCCUGGUAGUCCACGCCCUAAACGAUGUCAACUAGUUGUUGGGGAUUCAUUUCCUUAGUAACGUAGCUAACGGUGAAGUUGACCGCCUGGGGAGUACGGUCGCAAGAUUAAAACUCAAAGGAAUUGACGGAGUCAUAGCUGUUUCCU